rnacentral:rRNA from 1 species
GAUGAACGCUAGCCACAGGCUUAACACAUGCAAGUCGAGGGGCAGCGCAGUGUAGCAAUACAUGGGCGGCGACCGGCGCACGGGUGCGUAACGCGUAUCCAACCUUCCCGUUACUCAGGGAUAGCCUUCCGAAAGGGAGAUUAAUACCUGGUGGUGUUCAAAUUCCGCAUGUUAUUUGAACUAAAGAUUUAUCGGUAACGGAUGGGGAUGCGUGACAUUAGGUAGAUGGCGGGGUAACGGCCCACCAUGCCCACGAUGUCUAGGGGUUCUGAGAGGAAGGUCCCCCACACUGGAACUGAGACACGGUCCAGACUCCUACGGGAGGCAGCAGUGAGGAAUAUUGGUCAAUGGUCGGAAGACUGAACCAGCCAAGUAGCGUGAAGGAUGAAGGUUCUACGGAUUGUAAACUUCUUUUAUACGGGAAUAAAACCACCUACGUGUAGGUGCUUGUAUGUACCGUAUGAAUAAGCAUCGGCUAACUCCGUGCCAGCCGCCGCAGUGAGAC